GACGAACGCUGGCGGCGUGCUUAACACGUGCAAGUCGAACGGAAAGGCGCUGCGUUUGUGGGGUGCUCGAGUGGCGAACGGGUGAGUAAAACGUGAGUAACAUGCCCUUGACUUUGGGAGAACAUCAGGAAAAAGGGGAUAAUACCGGAUAGGAGCUCCUGCUGCAUGGGGGGGGUUGGAAAGAGUCGGCGGUUGGGGCUGGAAUAGCGGCUUAUCAGCUGGUUGGUGGGGUAGUGGCUUACCAAGGCUUUGACGGGUAGCCGGCCUGAGAGGGUGACCGGCCUCAUUAGUCCUGCGGUACGGCCCAGACUCCUACGGGCGGCAGCAGUGGGGAAUAUUGCACAGUGGGCGCACGCCUGAUGCAGCAACGCCGCGUGCGGGAUGCCGUCCUUCGGGUUGUAAACCGCUUUCGCCUGUGACGAAGCGUGAUUGACGGUAAUGGGUAAAGAAGCACCGGCUAACUACGUG
rnacentral:rRNA from 1 species